rnacentral:rRNA from 1 species
GUGGGGAAUCUUGCGCAAUGGGCGAAAGCCUGACGCAGCAACACCGCGUGGGGGAUGAAGGCUCUCGGGUUGUAAACCCCUUUCAGCAGGGACGAAUCAAGACGGUACCUGCAGAAGAAGCCCCGGCUAACUACGUGCCAGCAGCCGCGGUAACACGUAGGGGGCAAGCGUUGUCCGGAUUUAUUGGGCGUAAAGAGCUCGUAGGUGGCUGAGUAAGUCGGAUGUCAAAUCCCCAGGCUCAACCUGGGAUCCCAUCCGAUACUGGUCGGGCUAGAGUCCGGUAGGGGAGCGUGGAAUUCCUGGUGUAGCGGUGAAAUGCGCAGAUAUCAGGAGGAACACCAGCGGCGAAGGCGGCGCUCUGGGCCGGUACUGACACUGAGGAGCGAAAGCGUGGGUAGCAAACAGGAUUAGAUACCCUAGUAGUCC